rnacentral:rRNA from 1 species
ACACAUGCAAGUUGAACGAAGUACCUUGAGUUUACUCUUGGUAACUUAGUAGCGGACCGGUGAGUAACGCGUGAAUAACCUACCUUUGUGAGGGGGACAACAGCUGGAAACGGCUGCUAAUACCGCAUAAGGCCACAGCAUCGGGUGAUGCAGUGGUAAAAGAUUUAUCACACAAAGAUGGAUUCGCGUCCCAUUAGCUAGUUGGUGAGGUAACGGCCCACCAAGGCAACGAUGGGUAGCCGACCUGAGAGGGUGAUCGGCCACACUGGAACUGAGACACGGUCCAGACUCCUACGGGAGGCAGCAGUGGGGAAUAUUGGGCAAUGGGCGAAAGCCUGACCCAGCAACGCCGCGUGAGGGAAGAAUGUCUUCGGAUUGUAAACCUCUGUCCUUGGGGACGAAAAAAAUGACGGUACCCAAGGAGGAAGCUCCGGCUAACUACGUGCCAGCAGCCGCGGUAAUACGUAGGGAGCAAGCGUUGUCCGGAAUUAUUGGGCGUAAGGGUGCGUAGGCGGUUUAUCAAGUCAGAUGUGAAAUACCCAGCUUAACUUGGGAGGUGCAUUUGAAACUGAUAGACUUGAGUAAAGAAGAGGUAAGUGGAAUUCCUA